rnacentral:piRNA from 1 species
UGCAGGAGACAGUGGAUUUGACCACGUG